CGGCCAGGCCUGCUUGCGCAACCCUUUUACGAGCAUUCCACGGCCCUGACCUGUUCCCGCAGUGCGCGGGUAUCCCUAAUCAGACACACGGCUCCAGACACUCGGCGCUCAGCCACGCCACAGCAAACAGCUCCGACUGCUGCCCGCUCUCCCCAGCCUGGACCUGGGCCUGCCUGGACACUGCCUCGCUGGACGCGUUGGAAAUCAGGGCACGUCGCGUCCGCAGGCCCCAUGCCAGACGGGCCUCUCAGUCCUGUUGAUGCGGCCGGGGAGCUCCCGCCAGCCUCCCUGUGCUCUGGGUACCACGGCCCAGAGGUGUGCCCUGCCCCUCCUUCACCCUCAUAGGGAGCCAGGAUGGGAUUGGACGGCCCUCCCCACGGCCCAGAGUGGCCAAGGGGCCUUCCCGUCACCAGGCUGCACUGGCUGGAGCCCGAGGCCCCACGUGCACUGCAGCAGGAGGCUCCCAGGUUGUCCAGGUCCACAUGGCUCUCAGACAUGCUCGUCUCUCUCCACC
ensembl:lncRNA novel transcript